AAACCUUCCAUCCGACCGUGCGUCGCGAGCAGACUGAUCAGCUGUCUACCACGCAUAUCCUCCGUAGCCACUUUCCCCUACUCUUGCCGAGCGAUCCAGUCGUUAUCCCCACUCCUUCUACUCCAGCACGCGCGAUCUUUCUUCUUUGUAACCGAAACCGCACGAUCAUGCACGAGUUUACGUAUCUGUUCGCCUUUCUAUCCAUCUCUCUCUUUCUCUCUCUCACCCUCUCCUUCUUUUAUGCUUUGUUGCAAAAUGUUUCGUCUCUUCCUACGACGUUCCAAAUAGUUCGCAACCUUUCUCUUUCUCUCUUUCUUUCUCCCCUUCUCACUUCAUCCCGCGAAUUUAUAAACUCUCACGUGUCAAGCAGUGUCGUUCCCGUCGAUUUCUCCCACUCCUCCUUUAGGCUUUGCACAAGAAACACAGCGAAUAGAGAGAAUGGAAAAUUUGUCAGAAGCACGUGCUGGAAAUACGCAAGUUAAUUCGUUAUUCUUUUUUCCUUCUUUCUUUUUCUGCUUUUUCUUCUUUUUCUCUUUUUAUCCUCGGUAGGCUUUAAUAUUUAUCGCUAUGAUCGGUACGCGUUCUACUUAAAGUCAAGGUAUAUAUAUCGAAUAGAAGGUUAGAAAAAUAUUAAUCUCUGAUCGUGAUUCUUCUGAAAAUUUUUUGCGAUUCUGUUCGCUUUAUUAUUAUCGUAUUAUAUACGUUUACAAAACUCCUUCUUGUAGAUCGAUCAAAAAUCUUACGACUUUGAACAAUUUUGAAAAUGCAAAAACAAAAGAAUGAACAUUAUUAUUUUACUAAUUUAACUUUUCUUCAUCUGGUGAAAAAUGCGGUCGAAUAGAUUAGGGAUUAUUAAAUGAUAACGCGUUUAACGAUGUAACAUAUUUUUUAUCAUCAAAAAGAUAAAGAAAAUCGAUUGGUUUACUCAAGGUUAUUAUAUAUCAUGUUAAAAGCGAUAACUCGUUAAUUCCAUUGAUAGAAAAACUAAGAUUACUGUGUGCAUAGUUGAAUUCAUUAACAUCCGUUUUGUGAAAUCACGAGUGUCCGACUACAAUUUUCUAUCGAAAUAAAUGUAAGCAUUAUUGAAUUUUUCUUUUAACAUUAAAUUUCAAUUCCUUCAUCGUAACUCAUAUUAAAUGUUUUAUUGAUCUUCUGUGAUUGUAUCGUGUGUGAUCUGCCUGAAAUAUUAUUCGAUCUUUUUUUUUUGUGUUCGUUAAAAACGCCGCCAUUUUUCAAACAAACAUUUCAUCAGAUUUCAAUUCAUUCAAAAUAUAUAAAUUCAAUUCUUGAAAUAUAUAAAAUUUUAAUAUAAAGUUUAUUUUCUUAAUUAUGAGAUUUCGUUAAUUUAUUUCUUUUGCUUGAAAAAUCUUAUCGUUUUAUGCGAACAGUUUGACUUUUACAUCGUCGUUUAAUGAUUUCGAUGAAACUGCAAUUUUUAACGCUUUAUGUGAGCCAUUCUGUAAGUUAAAAUUUUUAGAAUUUUAUUUCGGCGUAGUUGAAUAUUAUUAAACACAAUAAGCACGACAUGAAUAAGAUAAUAUGAAUCUUAUUACAAUAGCAUAAAGUUUGAACUCGAAUGUAUAUUAAGUUAUAUUAUUCAAAGUGAACAUAUAAAAAAAAUGACCCGUUAAACAACCCGCAUAGAAAAGAACACAAUAAUUAAUAGUAUCUAAAUAUAUGAUUCUUACAAUUGAACAUUUCCUAUUUCAUAAUCAACUACAAUUAGAAUGCCGCUUUAAACUAAAGACUCUAUCUUUAACGAAUUCAAAUUUGUCAAUAUCACUUACGAAUCAUUUUAUUUUAUUCAAAAAUGAAACUAAAAAAUUCGAUUUUUUUUUGCGUUUUUUGUAAAUGUUAUUUUAAUAGAAACAAUAGCUAUUUUAUUUUAACAUAAUACUUGCGUUCAGAUAUAUCAAAUCAAAAUUCGAAUUUGUCAAUAUCAUUUAAAAAUCAUUUUAUUUUAUAUAAAAACGAAAAUAAAUUUUUUCUUUAAAUCUCAUUUAAAUGGAAUCAUUAUAAUCUAUUCAAUUUUAACAUAAUAUUUAUGUUCAAGUGUACUAAAUAAGAAUAAUAAUGGAAAAAAAGUAAUAGUAAAAACGUUUUACUGAGAAUUGCGAAAAUAUAGGAAAUCCACUUUACGAAUACAGAUAUACUCGUAGGCACAUAUACACAUCUUUUAUCAUUCGCAAUAUAGAACAUCUUCAACGAACUAUGUCGAUAUCCGCUUUACGCAUAUUAUGAAGUAUUUGUGCUAGAUCUACCAAACUGCGAUAAAUAUGCUGAGAGAUAUCCGAUAUCUCGUGAUAUAAAAUUACACACGCGUAUGUAUCAUGUAUUCUAUGCGAUCUAAUCAAACAGAUAUAUUGUGUUCAAUAAAAUAUUUUUUUUUUUUUUUUUUUUUUUUUUUUUUUUUUUUUCCUAAUGUAAUGUAAGUAUAAUGUUAUGUACCAGUUAAUAUAAAUAUAAAAAAGAAGAAGUCGAUCGAUUAAAUUUAUGUUUACACGACUUAUUUUCGUGAUAAAUACAAGAUAAACUGUCUUGAAAUAAAUAUUUUCAUUUAUUUAAAAAAAAAUGGGGAGAGGAAAAAAUUUCAAAGAAUAAUAAAGAUAAAAAAGAAAAUGAAGACAGCAGCCUUGAAAAUGUUCAAAUUGGUCACAUCGUACGAUUUAUCCUAUAUAAACGCUAUCGCAGUUGUUAGUUUUUGCCAAUUAGUUUGAAGAUGGUGAUUAAAACGACACUUCAUACUUUGAGAUAACUGGAAAGAUAAAAAGAUUCCAGAAAUCGAAAGAUACUCCUAUCUUAGAAAAAUAAGAGAAAAGAAACUAUUGAUAUAUUUAACAUAAGAAUGAAUUCAUACGUAAGGUAUACGAUAUAUUCUACGUAAGAGUGUUACGAUUGCUGUGUCGAGCAUGUUCGAAAGUAUUUGCAUAAUGUAAAAAAAAAAAAAAAAAAAAAAAAAAAUUUAAAUUUUAACAAAUUAAUUGUUCUACUUAUGACCUGAAAUACACACAAUUGUUUACAACGAGCGAAGAUGAAUCAAUUUAAAUUCAUUCUUAUUAAGCAUCAAUUAAUGUUGUACGAUGACAUUUGUAGAAUGAACUAUGAUGUCGAUUGGAACUUUGAAAGAGAGCAUACUUUGUAUAUACAAGAAAUAUUUGUUCUUUUAAAUAAUUUUAUUAUUUAAAUUAGAGGGAGGGGAGAGAGAGAGAGAGAAAGAGAGAGAGAGAAUAGGUGUUCCUUUGCUCUUCCGUGAACGAUACGUUAUAAUACAAAAAAUAUCUUUUUAAGCUCAAAGACUAUACUAAUACUAUUCUAGCUAAUCGUUACUUACACGAUUCAUUAUUUGUCUAUAAAUUCGAGCUCUUCUCGUCAAACGAACUAUUAUAUCUUUAUUUCUAAACAAUACAAAGAUAACAUUCAUAAAUUAUAUAAUAUUCUUGAUACCUUUGAGAGAAGAAUAAAAUAUCGUCGUUCACGUUUAAUGCUAUUGUAAUUACCAAAUGAUAUAACUGAAGAUAAUAUCGAUUAGUUUACUUGUAUUUUAUAUAAGUAUCUCAUAAUCUAAUUUAUCAAGGUAUUAGAUGGCAAGAUAUUAUAUCAUUUGAUACGAAUUGUUUAUAAAAAAAAAAAAUUCGUAAACAACUAUUAUAACUUGAUAUAGCGUUUUGUAAAAUAUCCCAUGAAAAAUUCACAUUGUGCCUUCUAUUGAUAACGGUCACGUCAAUGGCCGUCGUUUAUUACGUCAUCAAGAUGACGCAACACAGUUUUGCCUAGCGAUGAGACUCUGCAAUGGAAAUGUUUUUGUCAACAUAUUGAAUGCAAUUGAUGUUAGUUCAUCAUACCCUCGGACUUUCCUUUAUGCUGUCGUAAAUAUUGUAUUACGCGAAAAACAUAAGUAUCGCUUGUCCUCAUUACUUCCGCUUACAAAGAAAUCAUCUUUUACUCUUCUUACAACUCUGUUAUAUAAUGCAGAUGUUUUAUAGUUUCUUAAAUUUAUAAUCGUCGUUAAUACUUUCUAAAAGUCACUGAUAUUUAUAAUGUUUAUAUUUCAUCCAUCAUUAUUCAUAUAUCUAAGAGAAAUUUCAUUGAAUAAAAGAAUUCGCAUUGAUAUUUUAAAAUUAUCGAAUUUAUUUUUUUUUUCUACAUAAAAUUAAAAUAGCAUCUUUAAUCUAGUUUAUAUAUGUAUAAUCAAGUAACAAUAUUGUCACAUCGUUGCUGAAAAUAUAUAUGUAUCUGUAUAUGUGGAUAUACAUAUGAUACAUAUGUAUAAUAAUCCUGAAAUAACACGCACAUAAAAAUACGUUCGACUAUCUAUAGUAUACUAUACAAUGAUGUUGUCUUUACAUUAAUACGAAGUCAUUAUAUUUUUAUUAUAAUUUGUUUUUACUACGUUUUUUGAGAAAGAAUUCAUUUAAGCCUUCAUUUUUGCGCUAUUGGUUUCAUCAACGGAAUUUGCCUUACUUUGUUGUUUGAUACGGUAAUCUGAUAAAGCAGCCUUGAUUGCAUCUUCUGCAAGCACUACAAAAUGUACAAUCGUAUAAUUAACUCGUAUUAUUUUGUAGAAUACUUAUGUUAUUUUUUAGAAGAAUAUUUUUGUUCUUUGCAGUAUUCAUUUUGAAAGUCUAUAAGAGAAUACGUUUACUUACUCGAACAGUGUAGCUUGACCGGUGGUAGGCAAAGUUCCUUUGCUAUGUCAGUAUUCUUUAAUUUCAAAGCUUCAUCGAUCUACAUGUAAAGUUAAAAUGAUUAGUAUAAUUACAUAUAAUAUUUUCUAAUUACAGAAAAUAAUACAAAUUCAGACAACAUACAGUUUUUCCUUUUACCCAUUCUGUAGCCAAAGAACUAGAAGCGAUAGCUGAACCACAUCCAAAGGUCUUAAAUUUAGCAUCAACGAUCUUUCCAUUUUCAUCUACUUUAAUCUGUAAUUUCAUAACAUCACCACAAGCUGGAGCACCUACAAGACCUGUGCCUACUCUGGUAUCAUUCUUAUCCAUUGAACCUACAUUUCUAGGAUUCUCAUAAUGAUCGAGCACCUGCAUACAAUCGAAUAAAACAGUUAUGAGUAACAAUUCUUAUUUUGAUAUUAACAUCGUUAAAAGUAAACACAUUUCAUUAAAUAAAUAUUUAUCAUAUUAAAAUAUACAUGAUAUAUGCUUACUGUAUAUGUGUAGAUUAUAUACACAUAUAUGUAUAUAUAAUAUAUAUGUACAUGUAUGUAUAUACAUGUUUGACCUUGAACUUUUGUUUUGAUUUAUACAAUAUAUAGAUUUAAGAAAUUCGUCACAAUAAACACUAAUGAAAUGAUUAACAGAACAACGUGAUUUUUAGUCAUCUCAGUUUACAAAUUUCAUAAAAAUUAUAUAUAAAUGAACAAUAUACGUGUAUGUCAUGACACAUAGAUUUAUCAUUCAAGUACAUAAAACUCAAAUAUAUAAGUUAAAACAAUGUGAUGUACUAAGAAAAGUUACAAUUAAAGAGAUAUUUACAUUGGGAUGAUAAGAUACAGCCGGAACGCUACGAGAAAGAGUUUUUGAAGCCCCAUUAAGGGCUUUGGGUAAAGAUUUUAACAACGACAUCAUGUCACUUUAUAAUCGAUGAAUUUUUACAUAAACGUCAACGCGAAAGACUGUUUCAAUUGCUUUCUAUUGCGCAAUUGAAUGAAAUCCCGGUAUGAUUGAUAUUAUAAAUAUAAUAGGUUAGAAAGUGUGUCAAACUAUGAUCUUAGCGCCGCCUGGUGAUAUAACAUUUGAAACGAUGAAUGCGGUAAAUUUGAAAAGUAAAUACUCUCGAUUGAUGCGUAGGAAAAAAUUGCUGUGUAACAACUACAAAUAUUGAUUAGAUGUUGCUAUCAAAUUGUAACUUUAAAAUAAUCAAGUACAGUGAAAUAAGUAAAUAAUAUUAAAUAAAUAAAUGAUAUUAAAUAUAUUUCAUUAAAUAAUACAAAAAUGAAUGAAAAUAUCGAGAUAUAAUGACACAAAUUCAACAGACUGUAUUCGAGUUUUUACAUAAGUCCAAAUAACCUACUAAAAAUAUAUAAUUUUAAACAUGUAUAACGAUUAAUACGAAUUAUUAAAAUGUAAUAUAUCAAUAAUUGUGUCCAUACAUUUAAGAGAUGCUUUUCUAAAGCUAUGAACUCUGAAUAUCAAUUUUGUAUUAAAGAAAAUGUCGACAAGGCAAACAUAAGAAAUGUAGAAGAUAAAAAGAAGCUCAACGAGUGCAAGAUUUAUACAAGUUGGCAACAUGAGUGGGUUUCGCCUAAACGAUUAAACCGUACUAAUCCAAUUAAAAUACGUGAGGUGGUACGUGGUCCAUUUUAUUCACCGAAAUUAUUAAAGAUCUCACCAUUCGUUAAUAUUUCUUCCGGUGAGGAUAGCUGCGAAGCGACAAGAUAUAAAAAGACUUAUGGAGGUAUUCCUGAUCCUUGGACGGAAUGUUUGGCGAUAAAAGGAUAUUGUAAUAACGAAAAAUAUGAUAAGAUAUUAAAAACUUCUUGCGUAUCGCGUUACAUGAGAUUUUGGAUAACAGAAACAGUUUGGAAAAAAAUGGGUUUACCUUUCAUACAGGGUAUUCCAGAUCCAGAUAAGGAUUUUUCUAAUAUUCUAAUAUCAAAGUGCCCAUCGAAACGACAAAAAAAUCUCAACUCUGAAACUUUAUCACGUUCGAAAUCUUUAUCAAAUUCUUUGGAAAGAAAUAUCACGGGAACAAAUUUUACUCCCUCUAAUAUAAUACCAUCUUCAAAUUUAAUUAAUACGAGUAAACAGAAAGCUAUAAAAAAUGCAAACUCUUCACCGAAGCAGCCCAAAGUGCUCGAUGAAGAAAUCCCUGAUACAGGAAAUCAUAAAAAUCAUUCUAGCAAGAAUUCAGUAGCGAGAAAAUUAGAUGGCGAUAAUUACGUGAAUUCCAAAUACGAAUUAUCAUCAUGUAAAUGCGACAAAAGAAACGAUAAUUUUAUCAAUAAAACCAAGGACACAAAGUCUAAUCAAGUAUACUUUCGCUCGUCUCUGAAUGUCGCUACGCAAACUUCCCUAGAUAGAUUUCAUCGGGUAUCAUGUCAACAUUCUUCUUUUCAGACAUUAUUGAAAAUUGCCAGAAAAGCUAUAUUGCCACGAAAAAUGUACAAGAUACUUAAAGAAAGAUGGACUCGUAAAAGAUGUCCACAUUCUUUGUUAGAACAUCAAAAUCAAUAUUUUUCGAGUCAUACUGCAUCAUGCCAUUGUAUACAAAUCAUGAAAAAAGAUCUUCCGAACAAAAUCACAAAAAAAAUAUCCGAUAAAUUGUCAACCAAUCAUAUCGUUAACAAUUACUGUCCACACUGCAAAGCGUAUAUUUUAAAAACGAAAACAUCUGGUUACCGUUGUCGCAAAUUGAAACUUGAUCGUUCUAGAAAAAAAAUACGAGAAAAUACAAGCCUUCCGUCGUACCAAUGUUUUCGAGAAAAAAUUCAAAAGCCUUUACGAGAAAAUGUUACGACCCAAACGGAAUUAAUGAUGCAACGAGUGAAUGGAAACGAAUUGAGACUAAUAUGUUCUCGUUGCAAUUAUCCUUAUUUCAAAGCAGAAAUGGGAAACGUAAUAAAUGCAUCGACGGAUCGUUUAGUCGGUCAUAAAAUUUCAAAGUUUGUUGGUAAUACGUACCACGAUGUGAAUCAUCAUUUUCAAUAUAAAUACGAUGAUGAAAAUAAAUCAAUGGUUGAUAAACCAAUGGUUGGUAAACCAAUCUUGAGAUUGAUUUCGAAACAAGACGAUUCGAAUUUGAAUGAUUUUAGGAAAUACGAAUACGUCAAAGAUAUGCAGAAGAACGAUCAAAAGAAAAUAACAAGAAAUACCAAGAAAACGAAAUCUGUGAUGGAGAGAAAUCAAAAAACUCAUGACAACGAUCAUACCAAAGAGAAAAUUUGUAACUUUUCCGUGGAAAGUCAAAAAUCUACUGUAUUGGAUACUGAUAUUUAUGCAAAUAUUUCUAAAGAAUCAAAAUACGGUAAUUGUACGAAAUCUACGUCGGUAACAUCAAAUACAUAUUCAGAUCAUCUUAACGAAGUUUUAACGACGUCGAAUAAAAAUAAAAUUAUCAACGUAAAUAAAUUUAAAACCAUUUCUACGGAUCAAAAUUUCUGUAAUAAAUUCCCAGUUUUGAUAUCAGAUUGCGAGAAAAAUACGUAUUCAAAGAUGGAUAAUAGAAAAAUAAAAGAUAAACAGGAAGAGAUAUUGAGCCAUCGGAAAGACCGCGAUGUCGUUUCUUCUACAGUUAAAAAUGAAUCUAACAAAAGGCAAAAAUCUAAGAAUUUAAUCAAUUAUACGAGAUCACCCGAAGAACGAUCUAAGACUGAAUCAAAGACAAAAUCUAAGAUAAAACCUGAACGUGAAUUUGCAGUAAAUUAUAAACCUAAAUCAAAUUCCAAGCUUAAGAUUAAAUCUAAAGUAAAAUCUGCACAUAAUAAAUCUAACCUCAAUGUGAACAAAAAAUACAAUGAUAACUUUUACUUUCGAGCUCGAUCUAAAUCUAAUAAAUCCAAAUCAAGAUCUAUAUCUAAAUCCAAAUCUGGAUCUAAGUCUAUAUCGAAAUCUAGAUCGAAGUCCACAUCGAAAUCCAGAUUUAAAUCCGAGUCCAAUUCUACAUCUAAAUACAUACAGGCGAGAUCUAAAGUACGUCCGUUUAAAAGUUUGAAAAAUCCAAAUGAUAUUCGAGAACGUGAAAAUCUACAUGAAAACGAACGUAAUUGUCUGACUGAAAGAUCGUAUAAUUGUUAUCGUGAAGAGUAUACGAAAUGUAAAGAUUGUAAUCCGAUUUCUAAUGUUUCGAUUAAUAUUGAACGAAAUAAAUUUAUGAAAUUAUCGCCUUUACGUGAGAAUUCUCAAGUGAUACGUCAAAAAGAAUUAUUUACUGAGAAUGAUUCGUGCGUUGAAAACGAUAAUAAUUUCAUUGAUGAUAUGAUAUCAUAUUCGCCAAUGAACGACGUCAACGUAAAAAAAAAGAUAAAUGAAAAUAUAGACAAUAAAGGCACCAGUACGACCGGAUUUAAUUUUGAACCCGGUCCGUGUAUAAAUCGAGAAACUUAUAACAAGAUAAUCGAUUCGAAUGACUCGAUAUAUUCAUCAAUGCAAAAUUUUUAUAAAAAUAAUGAAAAUAGAGAUCGAACAUUUCCUUUCAAGAAAAAUUGUUGGCUUAGUAAAAGCGAUAAUUGUAUGAAUUCGAAUAACAAACAGGAGGAACGAAAGAACGAUAUUUUGUACAGAAAUGGAAAUGAUUGUUAUUUAAAAUUUUGUAAUUCUCGAUAUUUCAGUAGCGUUCAAUCAUUGAGCGAUGACUCGAGCAAAGUGAUAUAUAAAGAAAAUUCAAUUAAAAAAUAAAACAAAAGAUCGAUAAAUGUUUUAUCUUUAUUGAGAAUUUAAUCUAACUUAAUUGUAAUUUUGACAUUAUUAUUAGUACGAGCUGACUUUUGUACUUGAAAAAAAAAAUAAAUAAAUAAAUAAAAUUGCGUUAAAAAGUAAACAUUUAUUGUAGAAAAAUAAUUUCAUAAAUUUUCUGAUAUAAAUUAUAAAAUUUAAAUGAAAAUACCAUAAUAUGACGGAUUUAUAUGCAAAUGAUAAAUUGUACAUUUUUAUAUAGUCGCAUUGUUAAUUUUUAUUUGAUAACGUGAACACAUUGUAACGGAAAUUUUGUAUAAAUACCAACAUCGUAUAAGAAAAAUCUGUUUUUAUACACGUCUUCCGUAUAUUUUUUUUGUAUCAUUACAUUGAAAGUAAAAAUCCAUAAAAUUGAUAGUCACUUGCAUAAAAAAUAAAAGAAGAAUAGAAAAGAAAAAAAAUACAAAAAUUAAAAUUUUUUUCUCAUCAUAUUAUAAACAGAAUUUUUUCAUAUUUUCUUAUUGCUUCUUAAUUCAGUCAAGCAUGAACGAGUAUCAUAACCACUCAAUAUGGUUUGGGAAUUUUAAAGGAGGGCGCCACUGUGCGCUGUGAAAAUAUAAAAAUCAAAAAUAAAUGUUUCAAAAAAUUAUUUUACGUAGUAAUAAAUAAAAAUAUUGCACAUUUAUAUCCGAAACGUAUUUUAAUAUUUACGUAAACGCGAUUAAAAUUCAUAAAGAAAAUUUUUUUACAUAUAAUCAUCUGAUAAGAAAUAAUUGAUCUAAGGUCGUUAAACAAAAAACGAAUUUUGUAUAUCGUAUACGUUCGAUUACAAUAGCAAUUUUAAUAAGAAAAAGAAUUGAAUUUUUUUGAAGUUGUUGAUGCGUAAAAUACGUUGUAAAGAUUAGCAAGAAAGAAGGAAAUAAACUUUGGAAUGGUUAAAUCAAAUAGUGCCAAAGCCAAUGUGUUAUACAAAGUUUACGUACU